rfam:Stegodyphus mimosarum contig49823, whole genome shotgun sequence.
UCUAAGGCUCUCCUUAGAGCCAUAAUUAAAACAAUAGAAUGCAUAU